rnacentral:tRNA from 1 species
UCCCUCAUAGCUCAGUUGGUAAAUCAUCUGCCUGCAAUGCAGAAGACCUGGGUUCAAUCCCUGGCUUGGGAA